rnacentral:rRNA from 1 species
UACAGAGGGUGCGAGCGUUAAUCGGAAUUACUGGGCGUAUAGCGUGCGUAGACGGUAGCGUAAGUCAGAUGUGAAAGCCCCGGGCUCAACCUGGGAACUGCAUUUGAGACUGCUCUGCUCGGGUGCGGAAGAGGGAAGCGGAAUUUCCGGUGUAGCGGUGAAAUGCGUAGAUAUCGGGAAGAACACCCGUGGCGAAGGCGGCUCUCUGGGACGGUACUGACGCUGAGACGCGAAAGCGUGGGGAGCGAACAGG